rnacentral:rRNA from 1 species
GAUGAACGCUGGCGGCGUGCCUAAUACAUGCAAGUCGAGCGAACAGACGAGGAGCUUGCUCCUCUGACGUUAGCGGCGGACGGGUGAGUAACACGUGGAUAACCUACCUAUAAGACUGGGAUAACUUCGGGAAACCGGAGCUAAUACCGGAUAAUAUAUUGAACCGCAUGGUUCAAUAGUGAAAGACGGUUUUGCUGUCACUUAUAGAUGGAUCCGCGCCGCAUUAGCUAGUUGGUAAGGUAACGGCUUACCAAGGCAACGAUGCGUAGCCGACCUGAGAGGGGGAUCGGCCACCCGGGAACUGAGACACGGUCCAGACCCCGACGGGAGGCAGCAGAAGGGAACCUUCCGCAAUGGGCGAAAGCCUGACGGAGAAACGCCGCGGGAGUGAUGAAGGUCUUCGAAUCGUAAAACUUUUUUAUUAGGGAAGAACAAAUGUGUAAGUAACUAUGCCCGUCUUGACGGUACCUAAUCAGAAAACCACGGCUAACUACGG